UACGGAGGGGGCUAGCGUUGUUCGGAAUUACUGGGCGUAAAGCGUGUGUAGGCGGCCACGUAAGUCAGGUGUGAAAGCCCCGGGCUCAACCCGGGAAGUGCACUUGAUACUGCGUGGCUUGAGUACUGGAGAGGUUGGUGGAAUUCUCGGUGUAGAGGUGAAAUUCGUAGAUAUCGAGAGGAACACCGGUGGCGAAGGCGGCCAACUGGACAGAUACUGACGCUGAGACACGAAAGCGUGGGGAGCAAACAGG
rnacentral:rRNA from 1 species